GGGUAUUAGGCCUUGACUGGGCUUUCCUCAUUUUCAGCAGAGCCCAGCUGGCUUUGGCCCGGUUUGGAGAUUCUCCAACCAAGUCCCACCCUCAGAGAGGUUGCCAUACUCUCGCCAUUAGAGAAGCCAGCGGGGAGUUACAGCCACAGCAGCUUUUGCAGAAUCCCUAGGAGACCUACAGGGACAAAGCAGAGUAAAGGAAAAGGUCCUGGAGAGGUGUUCCUUGUUCUGAAGAGGAGAAACAGUAAAAAAUUUGCCAAGGACCCAAGAUAGAAGACUGUGGGCCCAGAUCCUAAUGUAAAAGAAGCCUGCCUCAACUUAAUUUUCCUGGACAGCAAGAGCUAUGAAAAUGAACUGGGUGAAUAUUGGUGUUUUCAGCUUGAGGUUCCAAUGAAUUAGGACAAUCAGAAGGAAGAGUUUAAUUUUGGGGUCUAGCAUGAGACCAUUCAGUUCAAACUUUCAUUUCACAGUUAGGAAACUAGACCCAGAGAGGCACAGUGCUUCGGCUUGAUGCUAAUAGACUGAUUUUGGAAGGCAGUUGAGCUGGAAGACACAGAUCUGGGGGCUGUCAGCCAAGGGCUGAGAAGGAUGUGAAUUAAGAAGGUGGGAAGGGAAUUGAUGGUUAAGGCCUGAGUCUUGAGAGAAACCCAUGGCCAGGAGCAGAGGAGUUAAGAUUCAUUCAGAAAUGCUCCUACAGACGUGGGAGAACAAGGAUUGUUCAGUAUAAUGGAAGCCAAAGGAGAGGGUUUUGAGGAGCAAAAGACUAGCCAACAGUAGCAAUUGUGUCAAGGUGAUCAAGGAAUAAGAUGUAAACAAUUGUUGGAUUUAUAAUAUGAUUUUAAAAGUGCAGUUUCAGUAAAGUGGUAAGAAUGGGAGGACAAUCAAAUGGCACGUGGUGUGUGUGUGUGUGUGUGGAGGUUGUGGUGUGUGUGGGGGGGGAUGUAUGUGUGGAGAGUGUGGCAUGAGAUGCAUGUGCAUAUGUAUGUUUAGGAUGAGGUGUGUGUGGAGAGUGAGAUGUGUGUGUGUAGGAUAUGAGGUGUGUGAGCUGUGUGUGUGUGUGUGUGAUGUGUGUGUAGGGUGCAGUGUUGUGGUAUAUGUGUAUGUGUACAUGGUGUGGGGGGUGCAGGGUGUGUGUGUAUGUAGGAUGCGGUGUGUGUGGAGAGUGAGAUGUGUGUGUAGAGUGCAAUGUGUAUGGGGUGUUUGUAGGGUGCGCUGUACAUGUGGGCAGUGUGUGUGUAUUCUGACUGAAUGCUGAGCACUGGUGCUUGAGCUCUCCUGCCCUGCCUGGGAGGUGGUGUGUCUGAGGUGAGGGGAAGGCUGACCCAGCUGAUGGGUCCUGUGAGGCAGAGGUUGAGGAGGGAGCCAGAGAUGAGAACCAACAACAUGCUCCAGGAAGAGGGACAGGCGCAGAAGCAAGGGGACACCAGACUGGAACAGAUGGACUCAUGCAGUUGUUCCUUGAUGGCCUGUUCACAUAUAGCAUUUGCCAUGUCCCACAAAUGCAGAAUUCUGGUGGAACCACAGUGCGUGGAAGUUCCAGGAGACUGAAAGUGGUGCAAGGUUAAGUGUGUUACAUAUGUAAUUGAGUAAUCAGGGGUGCUGACAGCCCGACAGGCCAUGCCUUCCAUUCGAACCAGAGCUUGCUUCACAUAGAAAGAAAGCAAUGGCUUUCUAAGGAAUGUGGACAAGUGAGGAACCCUAUCAUAUCCUUCUUACUCAUUUCUUCCCUGUGUUAACCAACCACUUACGCUGAAAAUGAUGACACAGAAGAAAGGGAAAGACAGGACAACCCAUAGUUCCUUUUCCUUUCAGCCCUUCCUUACUCAUCAGUAAGCUGAAGGUCAAGAGUAUUGAUGGAACAUGCACGUUAUCAAGAAGUAAAAUUAAAACAGUUGAGUUAGUUUUGUGCAGUGUUCCCGCUGCUCUGGUAAGGACAAAAUAUAUACGCAAGUAAGAGCUAGGAAAUAUGAACUGUGUAAUUUCAAUGAUUCCACGUAUGAGUCAAAUGCACUUAUUUUCAUUUACAACUAACACUACACAACAUAAAGAAUAGUAAAAUUCAUACUAAUAAUUAAAUUUUAAAUUUUUCUUUACUUAAAAUGACAUUAAAUAUCAAAUUAAAAACAUCAUGACUAGUAAAAAAAAAUUGUGGAAGAAAGAAAAAGUUUUAUGCUUUGGUGACCCUUAAUGGCCUUAUUUCCCUCUGGUUUUUGAACAAGGAGCUCGAUAUUUUCAUUUUGUACUGGGCCCUGAAAAUUAUGUUACUGGCCCUGGGUGAGAUGGUUGUUUAUAUUUGUAUGACCAGGGUCAAAAAACAGUCUUGGAACCACAGGAGCAGGGAAGAUUCACCAAUAAAUUGAUGAACACAAGUCUUCAUCAUUACCCACACACACUCACUGGCCCCUCAACAUUGGUAACAAUGGCCAUGGGUGGAGAGUUAAGAAGAUGAUAACUCCCAGAAAACUAUGCUUUUUCUGCUGAUAACUCUUCAACAUCUCACCACACCCAAUAUCUCUGCUUUUGUUAACAAACCAUGAACUGCUUCAAGUUGUCAUACCCUUUCUCACUGUCUUUCUUCUGAUUGGAACGGCCUGGUGAGAGCAGGCUGGUGGGAACACACACCUUCCGAAAGGCCCUCACCACAGCAGAUCACUGCUGGCGUCCGAGCUACUUCCUGCUUGUCCUGUUGUGUCCUUCAUCAGUGACCGCACUCUUGGAGUGCUUGCCUCUGGCUCCUGUUUUCCACCCAUUUCUCAGCCUGGUAACUCCUGGUUUCCAGUCUUAGUGGGCCCACUGCUCUGCUCCCACCUCCUGUGAUAGGGUCGGGAGAGCCGCCAACCCCACUUGACUCCUGGACCCCAUCCAGGCUGUGGUAUGUGCCAGCACCAUCUUCCCAAAGGAUGCUGCCCCUCCCUGAGGCUCAUGGUAUAGCUCUUCUCCCAUAUUCAUACCCCCGUCUUGAAGCCUGGCCCACAUAGGGUUUCCAGAAAGCCUUCCCCGAACCACUAAUAGAAACCCUACUAUACUCACACCUUCCUUAAGAGAUACUUCACAAACCCAGUUUUGUGCGGUGCAAAGGGGAUGAAAUCAGAAAUAACAUAGGUUUAAAUCCUGGUUAACUAACUGAUUUUUGAGUCUGUCAAUAAACCUCUCUGUGCCUCAAUUUCCCCAUCUACAAAAACAGGAUUGUGAUACUUACCUCAUAGGAUCAUUGUGAGGAUUAUGAGAAAUAGCACAGGCAAAGCACCUAGGUGCUGCCUGGCAUGUCCCAGCACUCAGUAAAAGCUCCCCCAACACUUUUCUCCCCCUGCUGGGGUUGGGCACCAUGCCUUAUUCAUGCCUUUAUUCCUUGCAGCACCUAGAGUAACAUCUUGUGGCUGGCAGAUGAUCAAUGCCUGUGGAUUGAAUUAAAUUAAAACUUUCCUUGUGUUACACUGUUCUCUCCAUGUCCCCAGUUGUAAUAUCCUCUUAAAAGUAUCAUCGCUUGGCUGGGCACGGUGGCUCAUGCCUGUAAUCCCAGCACUUUGGGAGGCUGAGGCGGGUGGAUUACAAGGUCAGGAGAUCGAGACCAUCCUGGCUAACACGGUGAAACCCCGUCUGUACUAAAAAUACAAAAAAAAAAAAAAAAAUUAGCUGGGCGUGGUGGUGGGCGCCUGUAGUCCCAGCUACUCGGGAGGCUGAGGCAGAAGAAUGGCAUGAACCCGGGAGGGGGAGCUUGCAGUGAGCCGAGAUCGCGCCACUGCACUCCAGCAUGGGCAACAGAGUGAGACUCCGUGUCAAAAACAAACAAAAAAAAGUAUCAUUGCUCAGCUUAUAAGUUCUACUUCAUGUUACUGCAGAUUGUGACCCCCAAAUGAAGUAACUUUUGCUGUUCCUUCUUAUUAAAAAUAAUACAUGCUCAAUAUAUAAAUAAAAAUACAAGCAAAAAGAGUAUUAAAAAGUCUGAUAAUUCUACCCACACAGACAUAGCUAGUAUUAACAUCUCUCCAUUAGCUUUUCAAUGCAAUGCAGCUAUUAUAUCUAUGUGUGUGCAUGUAUACAUGUAUGUAUAAUAUUUUGCUGAGGGAGGAAGGUGGAAAUAGCAUAUUAAGAGAGGGAUGUGGGCUUUAGAAUAGAAAAAAUUCAGCAAGCCUGUGCUCUGUGAGUGUGAAAAUAACCACUGGUGUCUACUUAGAUUCAGUAGGGUGGGAGUCUUGCUGGAAAUGCUUUUUAAAUUUCUAGUGCCAUAAUCUUUCUUUCAUCCAAAGAGGAAAAAAUGAGUCUUUACGUAUUUUUUAAUGUAGCGAUAAUUAUCAUUCAUCAGCAUACUGCACACUCUUUAUUUGGGUGUUUAUUAAGGAUCUAUUUCAUGCCAGACGCUGGAGUUGGCACUAAAAACAAGGAUACGGUUACUGCUCUCAGUGAGUUUUCAGUCUGGUGGGGGACACACAUGAGAAAUAGCACAGGCAAAGCCCCUGGGUGCUGCCUGGCAUGUCCCAGCACUCAAUAAAAGCUCCCCCCAACACUUUUCUC
rnacentral:lncRNA from 1 species